UUAGGACGUAAUAUAAAUAUUAUACUUCAUUUACACUGAAGAAAUGGUAGAUUUCUGCCCGUUCUAAU
rnacentral:tRNA from 1 species